ACCUUUCUGAAUCCGUGCCGAGUUCUCAUCAGAUGCCAACCCACGAGGGCUGACGAGACUUCCAAGAUAAAUGAAUUG
rnacentral:pre_miRNA from 1 species